CCCGUGAUGAGACUAAGGCGAAUGCGACUCAUGCCCUCGUCCUGGCCAACCCCCCCUCACACACACAUGGGGGGGCCCAGGGGCAUCUGAAAUCUCAGCAGGGGUCCCCGAGGCCCGGCCCCGCGCUGUAAGGCAGAUGGAGAGCACAGCGGCCUCCCCUCCGCCUCUGCAGCCGCCCCCAGUUCCCGGCAGCUGCCCGCGAGCGGGGGGCCCACAGUUAGGGACCGAGGUGGGACCGGGCAGGAGCCAUGUGAGCGCACCCUUGGAGCUGACG